GAUGAACGCUGGCGGCGUGCCUAAUACAUGCAAGUCGAGCGAACAGACGAGGAGCUUGCUCCUCUGACGUUAGCGGCGGACGGGUGAGUAACACGUGGAUAACCUACCUAUAAGACUGGGAUAACUUCGGGAAACCGGAGCUAAUACCGGAUAAUAUAUUGAACCGCAUGGUUCAAUAGUGAAAGACGGUUUUGCUGUCACUUAUAGAUGGAUCCGCGCUGCAUUAGCUAGUUGGUAAGGUAACGGCUUACCAAGGCAACGAUGCGUAGCCGACCUGAGAGGGUGAUCGGCCACACUAGGACUGAGACACGGUCCAGACUCCUACGGGAGGCAACAGUAGAGAAUCUUCCGCAAUGGGCGAGAGCCUGACGGAGCAACGCCGCGUGAGUGAUGAAGGUCUUCGGAUCGUAAAACUCUGUUAUUAGGGAAGAACAAAUGUGUAAGUAACUAUGCACGUCUUGACGGUACCUAAUCAGAAAGCCACGGCUAACUACGUG
rnacentral:rRNA from 1 species